UACGUAGGUGGCAAGCGUUGUCCGGAAUUAUUGGGCGUAAAGCGCGCGCAGGCGGUUUCUUAAGUCUGAUGUGAAAGCCCCCGGCUCAACCGGGGAGGGUCAUUGGAAACUGGGAAACUUGAGUGCAGAAGAGGAGAGUGGAAUUCCACGUGUAGCGGUGAAAUGCGUAGAGAUGUGGAGGAACACCAGUGGCGAAGGCGACUCUCUGGUCUGUAACUGACGCUGAGGCGCGAAAGCGUGGGGAGCGAACAGGAUUAGAUACCCCCGUAGUCC
rnacentral:rRNA from 1 species